UACGUAGGGGGCUAGCGUUGUCCGGAAUCAUUGGGCGUAAAGAGCGUGUAGGCGGCCCGGUAAGUCCGCUGUGAAAGUCGGGGGCUCAACCCUCGAAUGCCGGUGGAUACUGUCGGGCUAGAGUGCGGAAGAGGCGAGUGGAAUUCCUGGUGUAGCGGUGAAAUGCGCAGAUAUCAGGAGGAACACCGGUGGCGAAGGCGGGUCUCUGGGACGUAACUGACGCUGGAGACGCGAAAGCGUGGGGAGCAAACAGG
rnacentral:rRNA from 1 species